UACGUAGGGUGCAAGCGUUGUCCGGAAUUAUUGGGCGUAAAGAGCUCGUAGGCGGUUUGUUGCGUCGGCUGUGAAAUCCCGAGGCUCAACCUCGGGUCUGCAGUCGAUACGAGCAAACUAGAGUGUUGCAGGGGAGACUGGAAUUCCUGGUGUAGCGGUGAAAUGCGCAGAUAUCAGGAAGAACACCCGUGGCGAAGGCGGCUCUCUGGGACGGUACUGACGCUGAGACGCGAAAGCGUGGGGGAGCGAACAGG
rnacentral:rRNA from 1 species